AGAGUUUGAUCCUGGCUCAGAUUGAACGCUGGCGGCAUGCCUUACACAUGCAAGUCGAACGGCAGCACGGACUUCGGUCUGGUGGCGAGUGGCGAACGGGUGAAGUAAUAUAUCGGAACAUACCUUGUAGUGGGGGAUAACUAUCCGAAAGGAUAGCUAAUACCGCAUACGCUCUAAGGAGGAAAGCGGGGGAUCUUCGGACCUCGUGCUAUAAGAGUGGCCGAUAUCUGAUUAGCUAGUUGGUGAGGUAAAGGCUCACCAAGGCGACGAUCAGUAGCUGGUCUGAGAGGACGACCAGCCACACUGGAACUGAGACACGGUCCAGACUCCUACGGGAGGCAGCAGUGGGGAAUUUUGGACAAUGGGGGCAACCCUGAUCCAGCAAUGCCGCGUGAGUGAAGAAGCCUUCGGGUUGUAAAGCUCUUUUGUCAGGGAAGAAACGGUUGUGGCUAAUAUCCAUGGCUAAUGACGGUACCUGAAGAAUAAGCACCGGCUAACUACGUGCCAGCAGCCGCGGUAAUACGUAGGGUGCGAGCGUUAAUCGGAAUUACUGGGCGUAAAGCGUGCGCAGGCGGUUUUGUAAGACAGGCGUGAAAUCCCCGGGCUCAACCUGGGAACUGCGCUUGUGACUGCAAGGCUAGAGUACGGCAGAGGGGGGUGGAAUUCCACGUGUAGCAGUGAAAUGCGUAGAGAUGUGGAGGAACACCGAUGGCGAAGGCAGCCCCCUGGGCCGAUACUGACGCUCAUGCACGAAAGCGUGGGUAGCAAACAGGAUUAGAUACCCUGGUAGUCCACGCCCUAAACGAUGUCAACUAGGUGUUGGGUGGGUAAAACCAUUUAGUACCGUAGCUAACGCGUGAAGUUGACCGCCUGGGGAGUACGACCGCAAGGUUAAAACUCAAAGGAAUUGACGGGGACCCGCACAAGCGGUGGAUGAUGUGGAUUAAUUCGAUGCAACGCGAAAAACCUUACCUACCCUUGACAUGUCUGGAAUCCUGAAGAGAUUUGGGAGUGCCCGAAAGGGAACCGGAACACAGGUGCUGCAUGGCUGUCGUCAGCUCGUGUCGUGAGAUGUUGGGUUAAGUCCCGCAACGAGCGCAACCC
rnacentral:rRNA from 1 species